rnacentral:rRNA from 1 species
CAUAAUCAUUAGCUUUUUAAUUGGGAGCUUGUAUGAAUGGUUAAACAAAAGAAAUACUGUCUCUUUUUUAUUUUUUGAACUUAACUUUUAAGUGAAAAGGCUUAAAUUUUUCAAGGGGACGAUAAGACCCUAUAAAGCUUUAUAAAUAAUUAGUGGUUUUUUGAAUAAAUAAAAAAAAUAUCUGAUUAUUUAUUGUGUUGGGGCGACACGGAUAUAAAUAAAAGCAACUAUCAGGAGUAAAAACAUUUAUAAAUGAAGACAGGAAUGAUCCUUUAAUAAUGAUUAAAAGAUAAAGUUACUUUAGGGAUAACAGCGUUAUUUUUUUUGAGAGUUCUUAUCGAAAAAAGAGUUUGCGACCUCGAUGUUGAAUCAUAAAAUCUUUACAAUGCAGCAGUUGUAAAAG